rnacentral:rRNA from 1 species
GAUGAACGCUGGCGGCGUGCCUAAUACAUGCAAGUCGAGCGAACAGACGAGGAGCUUGCUCCUCUGACGUUAGCGGCGGACGGGUGAGUAACACGUGGAUAACCUACCUAUAAGACUGGGAUAAAUUCGGGAAACCGGAGCUAACACCGGAUAACAUGUUGAACCGCAUGGUUCAACAGUGAAAGACGGUCUUGCUGUCACUUAUAGAUGGAUCCGCGCCGCAUUAGCUAGUUGGUAAGGUAACGGCUUACCAAGGCAACGAUGCGUAGCCGACCUGAGAGGGUGAUCGGCCACACUGGAACUGAGACACGGUCCAGACUCCUACGGGAGGCAGCAGUAGGGAAUCUUCCGCAAUGGGCGAAAGCCUGACGGAGCAACGCCGCGUGAGUGAAGAAGGUCUUCGGAUCGUAAAACUCUGUUAUUAGGGAAGAACAAAUGUGUAAGUAACUAUGCACGUCUUGACGGUACCUAAUCAGAAAGCCACGGCUAACUACGUG